CAAGGAUCCAGCAAUAGUCAGGGACGUGCGUCUCUGGAUUCUCAUCACUCGGAACCCCGAGACCUGCCCUCACCUGCUACCAGCCUGCCACAGACAACCAGCUGGCAAACAAAUGCCUUAGAAAGUCCACGUGGUGAAGCCCAGGCGAUCAUUCCUGGCACAUUCCAGUUGCACACUUCUGGUGGCGACCUCGGAAUCCCUGCAAGCCUCUUUGACUCCAAAUGGGUUUCUACUUCCCAUUAGUGGCAACCCUGCCUUGUGAUCAAAUUUGACGCCGACGGUGUUUCCUGAGCUGGGGAGUUUGCAGAUCUGAUCUGUCAGCGGGGACUGAGAGCAAAUCGGGACAUUCAUCAUGACUUUGGCUGCCAAGCUGGAAGACUUUGAGCUGACACUGGAGCACCUGCUCAUGGAUGUGUUUGUGAUCCUGAGAUCCAAAAGGCAAGGACACCUUUGUAACCUCCAUGGCACCUAGAAUAUUGUAUACAAGGACCUCAAUAGAUACAUAUCAAUCGCUUGAGUUUUAACUAGUAUAUUUUUACUGUUAUUGUAAAAUUUAACUUUUGCUGGGAGCAAUAAAAUGCAAAAAAAAACGCAGAAA
rnacentral:lncRNA from 1 species